rnacentral:lncRNA from 1 species
GAAGUUGAAGAGCUAGUUGUCUCCGUCUUGAUUUUGGGUCUUCUAUUAGUUUCUCUCUCCUCUUGACUAGUCCUCCUCUAUAAACACGACAGUGAUCGGUGACGCGGGACUUAGAAGAAUCCAUGGCAUAUCUCCUUCACGUGAACGAAAAUUGAUCUCGAGACUCGGAUUCAACGAUUAUACCUCUGAGAUCAAGUAAAAUACCACCAACCUCAAAUUCUUUUAGUCAUAAAUUCAAAUUCAUACCUCAGGUUGAUACCGCUCGUCCUCUCUUUCAUUGUUUCUCUCUAGAUUUCUUUCAUCUUUAUUCUAUUUAUAUGUCAAAUUCAAGAGGGCCUCAGUUUGAGGGGGAUUGCUUCAAAUAAAAUAAUUUCAUUUUAUGUUUAGUUUGAAUAUUUUUAUUUAUUGGGAUUAUGUUUUGUAAAAAGAUGCAAGUCGUGAUAUAAGACUUCGGGCUUGAGGGGAGUGUUACAGUAUUCUAAACGAAUAGAAAUAGUUUGAUUCGCAUAAUCUUAGGAUUGAUUUGAUUAACAUAAUUAGCGGUGUUAGGAUUAUUCUAGACGCAUCAUCAGUGGUAAUCAUUGAUAUUAUUGAUUGUUUUCCUUUCUAAGGUAACAAUAUAUCCCAUAUUUCUUUGCUUUCAAGGCCAAUUUGAAAAUCAUUAGCUUGUUGUAAUAUCCCCUUACAACAUCUACCUCCCUUGUCAGCAGUUCUUUGCAUUGGGUUGUACAUCUAAUCUCCAACCAAUCCUUACUGCAAGAUGGUCUUUUCAAGCACCAUUUUUGGAACUUUUCUACAGUGAUUGGUGUUUGGACUUUUCAUCAGAUUCACUCAGAGAAAAACAAAGCGGAGUCGAAUGGCUAGUUGUCUCGGUCUUGAAUUUGGAUCUUCUAUCAGUUUAUUUCUCCUCUUAAAUGGUUAUCCUCAUCUGUAAACACAACAAUCUGGUGACACAGUGGACUUUGGAAGAAUUCAUGGCAGAUCUCCUUCUAGCACCCCACAUGAACGAAAAUUGAUCUUAAGACUCAGGAUUCGCCUACCUCAAAUUCUUUUUUAGUUGCAAAAUCAAAUUCAUACAUUGAUACCGCUCUUGCUCUCUUUCAUUGUUUCUCUAUCUAAAUUUCUUUGAUGCUUUUUAUUAUUAUUAUUCGUGCAAUUUGAAGAGAGCCUCAAUUUUGAGGGAGUUGUUGGGAAUAAAUAAUUUUGUUUGAAUCUUUUUAUUUUGGGGAUUAUAUUUUGUAACAAGUUGUAAGUCGUGAUAUAAGACUUCUAGCUUGAGGGGUAGUGUUAAGAGUAUCCUAUAGGAAUAUAAAAUUAGUUUGAUUAGCAUAAUCUUAAGAUUGACUUGAGUUACAUAAUUAGUGGUGUUUGGAUUAUUCUAGAUGCAUGCAAUGUCACUGGUAAUCAUUAAUAUUCUUGAUUGAUUUCUUUUUCAAGGUAGCAAUUUAUCCCAUCUUUCUUUGCUUUAAAGGCCAAAUUAAAAAUCAUUAGCUUGUUGUAAUAUCCCCGUGCGACAUUUACCUACCUUGUCAAUAGUUCUUUACAUUGGAUUAUACAUCUAUAAUCUUCAACCAAUCAUUUCUUCUUUGCAAGAUAGGUCUUUUCGAGCACCUUUUUUGACCUUGUCUUCAGUGAUUGGUGCUUGUACUUUUCAUCCGUCACUCGGAGAAAAAGAAAGCGGAAUCGAAGGGCAAGUCAUCUCCGUCUUGACUUUGGGUAUUCUAUCAGUUUAUCAAUCCUCUUAACUAGUCCCGUAUUCUAUCAGUUUAUCUUGCCUCUUGACUAGUUCUCCUUUAUAAACGCGGUGGUGACUAGUGAUGUGAUGGACUUUUAGUAGAAUCCAUUGUAGUUAUCCUUCUUCUAACACCCCACAUGAACAAAAUUUGAUCUUGAGACUCAAAUUCAACGAUUAUAUUUCCAAAAUCGAGUAAAAUAUAGUCUAUCAUAAAUUCUUUUUUAAUCGCAAAAUCAAAUUCAUACCUUUCACUGAAACCGUUCGUGUUUUCUUUCAUUGUUUCUCUCUCCAGAUUUCCUUUAUUCCUUUUUUUUUAGUUUGGACAAAUUGAAAAGGAACUCAAUUUGAGGGGGAGUGUUGGAGAUAAAAUAAUUUCACUAUAUGUUACAUUUAAAUCUUUGAAUUUUUGGAUUAUGUUUUGUAACAAACUGUAAGCCAUGAUAUAAGACAUCCAGCUCGAGGAGAAAUGUGUAUUUUCCUCUAGAAUUAGUUUGAUUCGGAUAAUCUUGCAUUGAUUUGAUUGACAUAAUUAGUCGUGUUAAGAUUAUACUAGAUGCAUGGUCAGUGGUAAUCAUUGACAUCACUAAUUGAUUUCUUUUCCAUGUUUAGCUUUAAAUUUUAGUUGCUUUCCCUUGUAACAGUCUUUUAGCUCUCAUAAAUUACAUUAAUUUUGUAUGCAAGAAAUAAAUAUCCAGAAAAAAAAAACACACACACACACACUUACACUUGUGCCUUGCACUUGCACGGGAUUUUUAAGCAGUUAGCCUAAUGUACCAAUUAUUAACUUAAGGAUCCUCUAGAUUAGUUCCAAACAGAGCUUAGUUCCGACACUUUCAAAUAGGCCACUCUCUCGUACCAUUUGUUAUGAUCGAUCCCCAAAUGAACCUGGUCCACUAGUACAAAAACCCCAGGGUCAACUGAGCCUACCACUAGUGCACCCACCUAAAAUCUUGCGUGGAAGACAACACUGAGACAAGUAAUACAUUAUUAUCAAAAGAGGGAAGUAAAAACAUUAUUAUCAAAAGAGGCAAGUAAUUACAUUAUUAUCAAAAGAUGAAAGUAAACCACCAUAAUAUAUUUUGGGGAGCACUCUUUACACAAUCUAUUUGUGCUAGCUCCACAAGUUUUCUUUCACAUAAAAAUGGGUGGGACCCACCUCACUCACAUGUGAGAGGAAGAGUUGUGAAAUUUUCAAAAAUGUAUAUCUAUAGAGACUUGUGGAAACCCUAUAUUUUCAACAAAAAAUAAUAUUUUGCAGCCAUGGAUAAAUAUUUAAAUCUGCAACAGUAGACAAAAUGAAAGCAAGUAAAUGACCAUGAAUACCAACGAGCAAGGUUUUUAAAACCGAACCGGUCAUCGAACCGGAAAAGUUACCGGGUGGAUGAAUCACUGGUCCAACCAGUGGUCGGAUCGUUAUUGACCCAGUGACGUCAUU